rnacentral:rRNA from 1 species
GGAUCAGUAAGCCGGUCGUACCUUCGGUAUGUACUGGUGUCACUGAUUCCUCCCUUCUGAUGAACCGUUAUACCAUUUAGUUGGUGUGGCGGGGAAUCAGGACUGUUACUUUGAAAAAAUUAGAGUGUUUAAAGCAAGCUCGCGCUUGAAUACAUUAGCAUGGAAUAAUGAAAUAGGACGUUCGAUCUUAUUUUGUUGGUUUCUAGGAUUGACGUAAUGAUUAAUAGGGAUAGUUGGG